rnacentral:rRNA from 1 species
CUAAGCCAUGCAAGUCAAGGAGUUCUUCGGAACGACUGGCGAAUCGCUGAGUAACACGUCAGUAACCUGCCCUAAAGUCUAGAAUAGCCUCGGGAAACUGAGGGUAAUACUGGAUAGAAAUUUUCUUCUGGAAUGGGAUAAUUUCUAAAGAUUUAUCGUUUUAGGAUGGGCUGGCGGCUGAUUAGGUUGAUGGUGGGGUAAUGGCCCACCAUGCCGACGAUCAGUAGGGGCCAUGAGAGUGGGAGCCCCCAGAAGGACACUGAGAUACUGGUCCUAGCCCUACGGGGUGCAGCAGGCGCGAAACCUUUACAAUGCACGCAAGUGUGAUAAGGGAACUCCAAGUGCUUAUGCACAGCAUAGGCUUUUUUUAAGAGUAAAUAUCUUAAAGAAUAAGUGGUGGGAAAGACUGGUGCCAGCAGCCGCGGUAACCCCAGCGCCACGAGUGGCAAUCAUGUUUAUUGGGUCUAAAGCGUCCGUAGUCGGUUUGAUCAAUCUCUUGUGAAAGUGUAGGGCUUAACCUUACAACCUGCAGGAGAUAUUGUCAAACUAGGGACCGGGAGGAGUUAGGAGUAUUUCUGAGGGAGCGGUAAAAUGUUAUAAUCUCAGACAGACUACCUGUGGCGAAGGCGCCUAACUAGAACGGAUCCGACGAUGAGGGACGAAGGCCAGGGGAGCGAACCGGAUUAGAUACCCGAGUAGUCCUGGCAGUAAACGCUGUGUGCUAGGUGUUGUACAUUCUUUAAGGAUGUGCAGUGUCGAAGCGAAGGCGAUAAGCACACCACCUGGGAAGUACGGUCGCAAGACUGAAACUUAAAGGAAUUGGCGGGGGAGCACCACAAGGGGUGCAGCGUGCGGUUUAAUCUAACUCAACACAGAAAAUCUCACCAGCAGCGACGGCAGGAUGAUGGUCAGUCUAAAGGGCUUACCGGACGAGCCGAGAGGUAGUGCAUGGCCGCCGUCAGCUCGUGCCGUAAGGUGUCCUGUUAAGUCAGGUAACGAGCGAGACCUGUGCUUACAAUUGCCAGUGGGUCCUUCGGGAUGACCGGGCACAUUGUAGGGACCGCCCUGGAAACAGGGAGGAAGGUGCAGGCUACGGUAGGUCUGUAUGCUCCGAAUCUGCUGGGCUACACGCGCGCGACAAUGGUAAGGACAAUGGGAUACUACUCCGAAAGGAGACGUUAAACCUCGAAACCUUAUCCAAGUGCAGAUCGUGGCUUGGAACUCAGCCACGUGACGAUGGAAUCCCUAGUAAUCGGCUUUCAACAAAUGCCGGUGAAUAUGUCCCUGCUCCUUGCACACACCGCCCGUCAAACCACUCGAGCAGAGUUAUAGUGAGUCUUAGUUUUUUGAUUAAGCCAAACUGUAGCUCAGUGAGAUGGGUUAAGUCAUCACAAGGUA